CUGGCCGGACUAUGUAUAUUAUGACUAUGGAAAUAUAUAGUCUGGAAGCAAACAAUAGCGCUUUGUUUAUGUUUUUGUUUCAGAAAUUCCUCGUUCUCAUUCUUCCGAAGGUGCACAGUAAGUCAAAUAAACAAAACAAAUCACAUAGCGAAAGUGCACUUCUCUUGAUAAUAAAGUUAAUUUUAUAAACACAUCCUUACGAUGCCUGGUGCUAAUUGCUCAAUAUUUGGAUGUCCUGUUUCACGAAGGAAGAAAUAUACUGAAAUAUGUCAGCUGAUACUCCUGUUACAAACGAAAUUAAAACAAAUGUGCUUGAGCAGAUUAUCACUUUGUUUGUACGAGUUCGCACUUUUUUCAGAUACUUAGAACAGAUACAAAGUUUAAAUGUGAUGUUUAUAAUUUACAUAAGCACAAACCACUCUCUCCCUUACUUUCUUUAGACUUUGCUAUGGUAAGUGAAUUUAUAUUGGAUUAUAUGCAUCUGAUAUGUUUAGGAGUUGUGAAAAGAUUAGUGCACAACUGGUGAGAAGAUCAUCAACCCAUAGAUUAAACCAAAAUGUAAUUGAUUAAAUAUCAGCUGAAAUGCUUUAUAUUGCAGAAAGGACCCCUUCAGAAUUUCAACGUACUGCAAGAUAACUAGAUGACUUGUUAUAUUUUGAGGCUGUGGAGUUUCGUUUCUUUCUUCUGUACUCUGGAUUAGUUGUACUAAAAGGUAAGAUCUCUGAAAAAGAAUACAACUUGUUUCUGGCUCUGUCAAUUGCUACACGUAUACUUCUUUCUGAUAUUUUCAGUAAACAAAAACGUUAUGUUAUAUUUUCAAAAAAGUUAUUUUAUUGGUUUACUAACGAGGCUAUUUUACUUUAUGGAGAGACUUUUUCAUCUUAUAAUGUACAUUCUCUAAUACAUAUAGCUGAUAAUGUUUUAAAUCAUAAUAAGUCUUUAAAUGAGCUAUCUGCUUAUCCAUUUGAAAAUUACUUAAGAUAUUUUAAAAAAGUUGUACACUCAGAAAGAUAUGUUAUAUCUCAGACUGUCAAAAGAUAAGAAGAAAAAUUACAACUUACUCAAAAUGUAACAACUCAAGAAAAGACAAUUAUAAUUGGUAUAGGGAAAAGAAAUAGUGUUUUUUUAAUUGCAAAAUCUGGGUUCACUAUCAUAACCAAAAAGCUUAGUGAAGAUAUGUACCUUGGAAGGUUAAUCAAAUUAAAAUACUUCUCCAAUUAUUUUAAUGAACCAGACAUGUCUUCCACAUACAAUAUAUUUUUUAUAUCUACGAUUGAUAAUUAUACUGAAUCUGUUUUUAAAAAAGAACUUUUAUCCAAAGCAAUCAUGAUGCCUUUUUCAAAAGGGGUUAUGUUUUUAUGAUUCUGGUUCAUUGUGACGCUAAAUAAAUGUGUAUAUAAAUUUCCUGUUUAAAUUUUUGUCUUUGAAUUUUUUUGAUUGCUUUAAUUUUAUUUGUUUUAUUGAGGCUAAUGAGUAGUCCGUGGUUUAAUUAUUUAAUUUCAGUUGUUUAGUUAUUUAUUUGAUUUAAAUUGUUUGAUAGAUUUUAACUGUUUGA
rnacentral:lncRNA from 1 species